rnacentral:sRNA from 3 species
AUGUACCACGCGUAUACGCGGUUCCAAGCGCGCCAUCCGCGCCGGCCAGACGACGGUUCGCUGUCUAUUGGUCGCC